AUGGACUAAAGCUCUUCUCAAAGCAAUAUAAAAGGACAUUGGAAGCAUUCUGAAUCCUCAAGAUGAGCACUUUGCAAAGUCAAAGAAGUGCUUUACUAUUCAUUUGUAACUUAGAUGCCAUUGAAGGAAGGAAAGACAAGGACCCGACUCAUGCUGGAAUCUGGAGUGGGUUUUUCAGGGGCAGACAGAAAACUGUUUUACUAUGAAAAAAGAUCAGCGGGGCAUCUUAUGCACAUUAUUGGAUUGUAUGCACAUAUUGCCAAGGAGACCUCAUGUUUUUGUUAAAUAUAUUAGUAAAGACUUUUGGGAAUGCUCCUCAAGCAAAGGAACUAUACUAUAGAGACUACUCCACGUCUCUAGAGUAGUGACUUCACCAAAACCUCAUGGUCCCUCUCCCAAAGUCCUAUAAGUGUCUUACUUCUCAGACCAAUAUUUUAGUCUUCCCAUAAUAUAUGUAAUAAGACAUUCUAGGGGAGGUUGAAAUAAAAAUACAAUAAAAUUUUGUCAGAAAUCAGAAUUGUCUUCAUUUGUGAGAUAUAUAAAUUAUCAGUGAAAAAGUUCUGUUAGCUGUUCUAACACAUCUUGUUUCUGACAGAAAAAUGAUGCCCUUGGUUAUCCCUACUUCCACUUGCAAAAUACAGUAUUAUUGAAAAAAAUAAAUUAUCCCUGUGACUAUUAAGAUUUUCUUAAAAUGGGAUUUGGUCUUUAGCAGAAAAUUGUAUUACAUUUCAUCCUUACUAAGCAAUUUACUUCUAUGCUUGAUAUACAUUUCAAUUGCCACUUUGGGAGGAAGCUAUAUUUUGAGAUGGUUGGAAAAAAACCUUACCAUUCUGUCAAGUG
rnacentral:lncRNA from 1 species